rnacentral:pre_miRNA from 1 species
AAUACUUAUCGCUUUAAGUUUUUGUUUGUAACGUUUAAUCAUUCGUCUUAUUCAAAAAAUUAUGAAAUUAUUAUUUAUUUUGUUUGUGACUUGCUUUAUUAUCAAAAGUACUUUAAGUAUGACUUAUCAUUUUUUAUACUUGCACUAAUUUUUCAAAUAAGACGAAUGGUCAAACGUUGCAAGCAAAAAAUCAAAGCGUCCACUAAU